AAUAUAUUUAAUAUAAAUUUUCAUUUAAUGGGGGUGAUUGAGCGUGUAUGUUAUAACUUAUAUAUUUAUAAUAAAGUUUUUUUGCUUAGGGGUUUCAGAAAAGCUUGAGUUAAAUGCAAGUGUUGGCGUAAAAUAUAAAUGUCUUAAAUAGUAAUGGGAAUUUGUGGGGGCAGUUUCUAAUUUUAAAUAUUCGGGGGGCCGAGAUAUAGCAGGGUUUAAGAGUAUAAACAAAAUUUGUGCCAGCAGUUGCGGUUAUACAAAUUGUGCAAUGAAAGUUUAUUGGGUGUAGUUAACUUGGGGAGAUUUAAAUUUAAUUUAAUUUUAUUAGGUGAAAUUUUAAGAUUUAGAAAAUUUAUUAUUGUGGGAGUGAGGCUAGUAAAUUUUAAGGAAAGACUAGGAUUAGAUACCCUAUUAUAGAAAUUAGUAUUAUAAACCUAAAUUAUUAGUAGUUAAGUUCUUGAAAAUUAAUAAAAGUGGCGGUAUUCUAGUCUAUUCAGAGGAAUCUGCCCUGUAAUUGAUAUUCCACGAUUUAGUUUACUUGAGUUUUUAGCUUAUAUAUCGCUGUGGUUCGAAUAUUUUUAUUGGAUUUAAAUAUUCAUAAUUUUGAUGGAAAAGAUUUCAAGUCAAGAUGUAGCUUAUAUUUAAGAAGAGGUGGAUUACAUUAUGUGUAUUUGUGGUUACUAGAUUGUGAAGUCUAUUAUAAAAUGGAUUUGAAAGUAAUUUUUAAGGAAGAUUUUUAAAGUGAUUUUAGCUCUAGAAUAUGUACAUAUCGCCCGUCGCUUUCAUUAUAAGGUGGAAUAAGUCGUAACAUAGUAGAUGUACUGGAAAGUGUCUCUAGAAGA
rnacentral:ncRNA from 1 species